rnacentral:rRNA from 2 species
AAAUUGAAGAGUUUGAUCAUGGCUCAGAUUGAACGCUGGCGGCAGGCCUAACACAUGCAAGUCGAGCGGUAGCACAGAGAGCUUGCUCUCGGGUGACGAGCGGCGGACGGGUGAGUAAUGUCUGGGAAACUGCCUGAUGGAGGGGGAUAACUACUGGAAACGGUAGCUAAUACCGCAUAACGUCGCAAGACCAAAGUGGGGGACCUUCGGGCCUCAUGCCAUCAGAUGUGCCCAGAUGGGAUUAGCUAGUAGGUGGGGUAACGGCUCACCUAGGCGACGAUCCCUAGCUGGUCUGAGAGGAUGACCAGCCACACUGGAACUGAGACACGGUCCAGACUCCUACGGGAGGCAGCAGUGGGGAAUAUUGCACAAUGGGCGCAAGCCUGAUGCAGCCAUGCCGCGUGUGUGAAGAAGGCCUUCGGGUUGUAAAGCACUUUCAGCGGGGAGGAAGGCGUUAAGGUUAAUAACCUUGGCGAUUGACGUUACCCGCAGAAGAAGCACCGGCUAACUCCGUGCCAGCAGCCGCGGUAAUACGGAGGGUGCAAGCGUUAAUCGGAAUUACUGGGCGUAAAGCGCACGCAGGCGGUCUGUCAAGUCGGAUGUGAAAUCCCCGGGCUCAACCUGGGAACUGCAUUCGAAACUGGCAGGCUAGAGUCUUGUAGAGGGGGGUAGAAUUCCAGGUGUAGCGGUGAAAUGCGUAGAGAUCUGGAGGAAUACCGGUGGCGAAGGCGGCCCCCUGGACAAAGACUGACGCUCAGGUGCGAAAGCGUGGGGAGCAAACAGGAUUAGAUACCCUGGUAGUCCACGCCGUAAACGAUGUCGAUUUGGAGGUUGUGCCCUUGAGGCGUGGCUUCCGGAGCUAACGCGUUAAAUCGACCGCCUGGGGAGUACGGCCGCAAGGUUAAAACUCAAAUGAAUUGACGGGGGCCCGCACAAGCGGUGGAGCAUGUGGUUUAAUUCGAUGCAACGCGAAGAACCUUACCUGGUCUUGACAUCCACAGAACUUAGCAGAGAUGCUUUGGUGCCUUCGGGAACUGUGAGACAGGUGCUGCAUGGCUGUCGUCAGCUCGUGUUGUGAAAUGUUGGGUUAAGUCCCGCAACGAGCGCAACCCUUAUCCUUUGUUGCCAGCGGUUCGGCCGGGAACUCAAAGGAGACUGCCAGUGAUAAACUGGAGGAAGGUGGGGAUGACGUCAAGUCAUCAUGGCCCUUACGACCAGGGCUACACACGUGCUACAAUGGCAUAUACAAAGAGAAGCGACCUCGCGAGAGCAAGCGGACCUCAUAAAGUAUGUCGUAGUCCGGAUUGGAGUCUGCAACUCGACUCCAUGAAGUCGGAAUCGCUAGUAAUCGUAGAUCAGAAUGCUACGGUGAAUACGUUCCCGGGCCUUGUACACACCGCCCGUCACACCAUGGGAGUGGGUUGCAAAAGAAGUAGGUAGCUUAACCUUCGGGAGGGCGCUUACCACUUUGUGAUUCAUGACUGGGGUGAAGUCGUAACAAGGUAACCGUAGGGGAACCUGCGGUUGGAUCACCUCCUUACCUUAAAGAA